GGCGGAGGGUGCAAUCGUUGUUCGGAACUACUGGGCGUAAAGCGCGUGUAGGCGGCUCGCUAAGUCUGAUGUGAAAUCCCGGGGCUCACCCCCGGAAGUGCAUUGGAAACUGGCGAGCUCGAGUCCCGGAGAGGAGGGUGGAAUUCCUGGUGUAGCGGUGAAAUGCGUAGAUAUCAGGAGGAACACCGGUGGCGAAGGCGGCCCUCUGGACGGUGACUGACGCUGAGACGCGAAAGCGUGGGGAGCAAACAGG
rnacentral:rRNA from 1 species